rnacentral:rRNA from 1 species
AGAGUUUGAUCCUGGCUCAGAAUAAACGCUGGCGGCGUGCCUAACACAUGCAAGUCGAGCGAGAAAGCUUCUUCGGAAGUUAGUAAAGCGGCGAACGGGUGAGUAACGCGUAGGAAUCUACCUUUUAGUGAAGAAUACCCUCGAGAAAUCGAGGUUAAUACUGCAUACGUCCCUACGGGGAGAAAGGCGGCCUCUUUGCU